GAUGAACGCUGACAGAAUGCUUAACACAUGCAAGUCAACUUGAAUUUGGGUUUUUAACUUAGGUUUGGGUGGCGGACGGGUGAGUAACGCGUAAAGAACUUGCCUCACAGCUAGGGACAACAAUUGGAAACGAAUGCUAAUACCUAAUAUUAUGAUAAUAGGGCAUCCUAUAAUUAUGAAAGCUAUAAGCGCUGUGAGAGAGCUUUGCGCCCCAUUAGCUAGUUGGAGAGGUAACGGCUCACCAAGGCGAUGAUGGGUAGCCGGCCUGAGAGGGUGAUCGGCCACAAGGGGACUGAGACACGGCCCUUACUCCUACGGGAGGAAGGAGUGGGGAAUAUUGGACAAUGGACCGAGAGUCUGAUCAAGCAAUUCUGUGUGCACGAUGAAGUUUUUCGGAAUGUAAAGUGCUUUCAGUUGGGAAGAAACAAAUGACGGUACCAACAGAAGAAGUGACGGCUAAAUACGUG
rnacentral:rRNA from 1 species